rnacentral:rRNA from 1 species
UGGGCGGAUUAGUGGCGAACGGGUGAGUAAUACGUGAGUAACCUGCCCUUGACUCUGGGAUAAGCCUGGGAAACUGGGUCUAAUACUGGAUACUACCUCUUACCGCAUGGUGGGUGGUGGAAAGGGUUUUACUGGUUUUGGAUGGGCUCACGGCCUAUCAGCUUGUUGGUGGGGUAAUGGCUCACCAAGGCGACGACGGGUAGCCGGCCUGAGAGGGUGACCGGCCACACUGGGACUGAGACACGGCCCAGACUCCUACGGGAGGCAGCAGUGGGGAAUAUUGCACAAUGGGCGGAAGCCUGAUGCAGCGACGCCGCGUGAGGGAUGACGGCCUUCGGGUUGUAAACCUCUUUCAGUAGGGAAGAAGCGAGAGUGACGGUACCUGCAGAAGAAGCGCCGGCUAACUACGUGCCAGCAGCCGCGGUAAUACGUAGGGCGCAAGCGUUGUCCGGAAUUAUUGGGCGUAAAGAGCUCGUAGGCGGUUUGUCGCGUCUGCUGUGAAAGCCCGGGGCUCAACCCCGGGUCUGCAGUGGGUACGGGCAGACUAGAGUGCAGUAGGGGAGACUGGAAUUCCUGGUGUAGCGGUGAAAUGCGCAGAUAUCAGGAGGAACACCGAUGGCGAAGGCAGGUCUCUGGGCUGUUACUGACGCUGAGGAGCGAAAGCAUGGGGAGCGAACAGGAUUAGAUACCCUGGUAGUCCAUGCCGUAAACGUUGGGCACUAGGUGUGGGGGACAUUCCACGUUUUCCGCGCCGUAGCUAACGCAUUAAGUGCCCCGCCUGGGGAGUACGGCCGCAAGGCUAAAACUCAAAGGAAUUGACGGGGGCCCGCACAAGCGGCGGAGCAUGCGGAUUAAUUCGAUGCAACGCGAAGAACCUUACCAAGGCUUGACAUUCACCGGACUACCCCAGAGAUGGGGUUUCCCUUCGGGGCUGGUGGACAGGUGGUGCAUGGUUGUCGUCAGCUCGUGUCGUGAGAUGUUGGGUUAAGUCCCGCAACGAGCGCAACCCUCGUUCUAUGUUGCCAGCACGUGAUGGUGGGGACUCAUAGGAGACUGCCGGGGUCAACUCGGAGGAAGGUGGGGAUGACGUCAAAUCAUCAUGCCCCUUAUGUCUUGGGCUUCACGCAUGCUACAAUGGCCGGUACAAAGGGUUGCGAUACUGUGAGGUGGAGCUAAUCCCAAAAAGCCGGUCUCAGUUCGGAUUGAGGUCUGCAACUCGACCUCAUGAAGUCGGAGUCGCUAGUAAUCGCAGAUCAGCAACGCUGCGGUGAAUACGUUCCCGGGCCUUGUACACACCGCCCGUCAAGUCACGAAAGUUGGUAACACCC